AAAACGUUGAGUUUCCGCGUACGUCAUUACGCGCAUGUGCAGCUGGGGGGGGGGGGGCGGAUCGGGAACUGACAAGUACUACUCUGCCUUAGUACAAAUAAAGCCUUCACUAACACAGCUAACCGUCUGAAAGCCAAGCCUCUGAGGGGGUCAAGGCCACGGAGCUCAGAUAAUGGCAAGUAUGUUUUGCUAUAUUUACAAGGAAGCAAGAGUCUGGCAGAAAGUUUAUUUUUCCAUUGAGACCACCGUAACUUGAGUGGGAAGCAGAGGUCGAGAUUGGAUGGUUGGAUAAACAACUCCACAUGUGGUCCUCUGGUUCAGGCUGGUAAAUGGAUUGGAGGAAGCUUGUCAUUCUGUUAGCGAGGAUUAGACAUCCAGGGACAAACACAUUUCGGAGUAAGACCGAACUUCAUGA